CGCUGGCGGCGUGCCUAAUACAUGCAAGUCGAGCGGUUCCUUCGGGAACAGCGGCGGACGGGUGAGGAACACGUGAGUAACCGGGCAUCCAGUGGGGGAUAUCGGGCCGAAAGGCGCGGCAAUCCCGCAUACGUCCCGGCUCCGCAAGGAGCCGGGGGAAAGGCCUUCGGGUCGCUGGAUGGGGGGCUCGCGGCCCAUUAGCUAGUUGGGGGGGUAAUGGCCUCCCAAGGCGACGAUGGGUAGCCGGCCUGAGAGGGUGAUCGGCCACACUGGGACUGAGACACGGCCCAGACUCCUACGGGAGGCAGCAGUAGGGAAUCUUCCACAAUGGGCGCAAGCCUGAUGGAGCAACGCCGCGUGAGUGAAGACGGCCUUCGGGUUGUAAAGCUCUGUCUGUCGGGACGAGGGCCCNGAUGCAACUCCCGGNGGGACGGUACCGGCGGAGGAAGCCCCUGCAAACUACGUGCCAGCAGCCGCGGUAAGACGUAGGGGGCAAGCGUUGUCCGGAAUUACUGGGCGUAAAGGGCGUGUANGCGGUAUCACACGUAGCGGNUUUCAGCCGNCGGCUCACCCCGNCGGAGGGCGGCUAAACCGUNACGCUUGAAGGCAGGANAAGUGCACGGAAUUCCU
rnacentral:rRNA from 1 species